GGUGAUUCACGAUAACUUCGCGAAUCGCACGGCCUCGCGCCGGCGAUGAUUCGUUCGAAUUUCCGCCCUAUCAACUUUCGAUGGUAAGGUAGAGGCUUACCAUGGUGAUCACGGGUGACGGAGAAUCGGGGUUCGAUUCCGGAGAGGGAGCCCGAGAAACGGCUACCACUUCUAAGGAAGGCAGCAGGCGCGCAAAUUACCCAAUCCCGACUCGGGGAGGUAGCGACAAUAAAUACCGAUACGGGUCCCCGACGGGGACCCGUAAUCGGAACGAGAAAGAUUCAAACCCACUAUCGAGGAACGAUUGGAGGGCAAGUCUGGUGCCAGCAGCCGCGGUAAUUCCAGCUCCAAUAGCGUAUAUUAAAGUUGUUGCAGUUAAAAAGCUCGUAGUCGAACGGCGGCUCGCCCCCGCUCUUGACUGAGCCGGGGGUAUUCCCUCCCCCCCGAGGGGUUCGGGGGGCGUCCUCGGUCCGGGUCCGUCCCGGCGAGCGGCGUCCCUUCCCUCGGGGGAGGGUUUCGCGCGGGGCCGGAAGGGAGGGCGUCCCCCUCUCGGGGGAAAAGGGGUGGGGAAGGGAAAAAAAGAGGGGGGGGGGCUUCGGCCUUCCUUCUUUUUUUUUUUCCUCCCUUCUUCCCUCUCCCCCCUCGUUCUCGGUUCUCGCGGAGCUCCGACCCGUUUACCUCGAAUAAAUCAGAGUGUUCAAAGCGGGCAAGUCCAGGCCCGAAUACGUCAGCAUGGGAUAAUGGAACAGGACUCGGGUCCUAUUUUUCCGUCGGUUCGUAAGGCUCGAGUAAUGAUCGAUAGGGACGGUCGGGGGCGUUGGUAUUUAAUUGUCAGAGGUGAAAUUCUCGGAUUCAGGAAAGACCGACUUCAGCGAAAGCAUUCGCCAAGGACGUUUUCAUUGAUCAAGAACGAAAGUUAGGGGAUCGAAGACGAUCAGAUACCGUCGUAGUCUUAACCAUAAACGAUGCCGACCGGGGAUCGGGAGACGCCGCGACGAUUUGAGGGCUCUCCCGGCCCCUCGCGGGAAACCUAGAGUCUUUGGGUUCCGGGGGGAGUAUGGUCGCAAGGCUGAAACUUAAAGGAAUUGACGGAAGGGCACCACCAGGAGUGGAGCCUGCGGCUUAAUUUGUGGUGGAGCGAUUUGUCUGGUUAAUUCCGUUAACGAACGAGACCUCGGCCUGCUAAAUAGCCGCGCGAACCCUUCCGCCCCAAGGAGGUUCAGCGGUCGGGGGGAAGGGUCCCCCUCGGGAGGGGGGGGGAAGGGGAGGGGGUUCGCGCCUCCUUCUCUUCCUCCUUUCUUUCGGGGGGAUCCCGGCCCUUCCCCUUUUUCGGUCGCCCUCCGGUGGGGUUCGCGGCGUCGCUUCUUAGAGGGACCGCGCGGUACGAAACGCGCGGAAGUUCGAGGCAAUAACAGGUCUGUGAUGCCCUUUAGAUGUUCUGGGCCGCACGCGCGCUACACUGACGAGCUCAACGAGCGUUCGAUUCCCGCCCAGGCCGGAAGGUCCGGGCAAUCUUACUCAAAGCUCGUCGUGCUGGGGAUAGAUCCUUGCAAUUGUGGAUCUUCAACGAGGAAUUCCUAGUAAACGCGAGUCAUCAGCUCGCGUCGAUUACGUCCCUGCCCUUUGUACACACCGCCCGUCGCUCCUACCGAUCGAACGGUCCGGCGAAGUCUUCGGAGCGAGGUCCAGGCCCGGCCGGGGCGACUCGGCCGGGUAGGGUCGCGCGAAGUCGACUGAACCUUAUCGUUUAGAGGAAGGAGAAGUCGUAACAAGGUAUCCGUAGG
rnacentral:rRNA from 1 species